AGGUUUAGUCGAACACAUCGUUUUUUAUUUGUAGAAAGCUAAUGUGGAAAUCUCACUCUUCGUAAUCCCAUUUUUCAUCUUCUGCUGAGUCGUGGAAGAUCCACCAUUUAACGGUUUAUACUCGUACCAUUGCGGCGCCUCAUUACUCUCCGGCUUCGCUGCAAUCAUUCGUCAUCAUCUCCCUGUUCAUCGCUGCAGGCAACGUUCGAUGGCGCCAUCUUCCAGGAGAUCGCGCGAAGAAGCGGGCCAUACUAUGAACGUAAGCUUAUAUUAACUUACGUGACAAAGAAACAUCCAAAAACAUCAAUUUAGGUAGAUGAUGAAGAUUAACUUGUUGGUUGCAAACUUGCAUGCAUAAGCAAAAAAAAAAUCUAGUGCAAGUCGAAAUAUGUUCCAGUUUAUUCCAGAUAUGUAUAAGAUAUAUAAUAUAAUGUCUCGCCUUGUUCAUAUUCACUGAAUCAUUGUAAUUGGUCGUGACUCGCUAUGUGUAAAAAGAUUAUCAAGUCGGAUUGGUAUCUUUAUAUUUAUUUAUUUAUUUUGCUGA